UACGAGGGGGGCGAGCGUUGUUCGGAAUUAUUGGGCGUAAAGGGUGCGUAGGCGGCUCAUGAAGGCUGUGGUGAAAGUCCGGGGCUCAACCUCGGAUCGGCCGUGGCGACUCGUGGGCUGGAGCACUGUAGAGGCGGGUGGAAUUCCGGGUGUAGCGGUGGAAUGCGUAGAGAUCCGGAAGAACACCAGUGGCGAAGGCGGCCCGCUGGGCAGUGGCUGACGCUGAGGCGCGACAGCGUGGGGAGCAAACAGG
rnacentral:rRNA from 1 species